CUCAUAUCCCCCGUCUCUCCCGAACUGCCGCCUCGGCGUUUUCCUCUCCCAUCCGUCUCUCUCACAUCCUCUGCCUCUCUCCUACGAUCUCUUGGCCGUCGCGGCACCUAGCCAGAGCUGUCACCUAACUAGCCCACUUCUUCGUCAGCAUGUGGCCAGAGCCGGCGCGCGCCUACCAUCGAUGCGGCGGCAUUGAGCUCGACAAUUACAAUAGCGGGGACCAUGACAGAGGGCAGACGGGAUCCAGCAGCAUUAGAGCUCAGUCAUCAGAUCCGGUGGAAGCUCAUCUUCGUCCGGCAGUAGAGGCAGCCACGCUCAUUCGUUUGAUCCUUUUCUUGCAACUCCGACUAGUUCCUCUCCUCCUCUGUUGCUCAUCUUUUUUGUAUCUUUGUUAAGUUGUACAGACUAUUUGCAGCUCACACAAGCUGACCAUGAGCUUGACCUUACUAGAGAGCCAGCGGUGGUGGACUGCUCAUGUUUGGCACCCCUGCAUCGUUCGUCUCCAACGGGGAGCUCCUGCUUGACUUCGUAAUUCGUAUUCAUCCAUGUUGAGCUGACGGAUGUCUGCUGCACGGCUGUCAACGCUGGAGAUGGACAAGCCAAAGACAACGGCAUCGUCACCACCACAAGCAGGAAUCUCUCCCAGGAGGUCCGCUCGAGUGGCCACCAGCCGUCAGUAAUGGAAUCGACAAGGCCCUCGUGCAUGUUCUCACAACCACCAAGAAUUGACAAGAGGGAAUAUGUUCAAAAGUGCAUCAUACGCUACAUGAUUCCAUGUUGCCUUUGAAAUUAUGCUCCCGGCAACAACAAAAAGUGCAAUGACCUACUCGAAAUAAGUUGAUCAAUUUGAUAUACAAGACAUUUAAUCAAGUUUGUAUGUCCCGAGUGUAAAAUCAAAUCAUACUACAUACUUGCUCCCUCUGUAACUUAAUACUGCAUUAAUCAUUUUUUUACAUUCUCAUAGUGUCAAAACACAUCUUCUAUCUGAUAAAAAGACAUCUUAUAUUAAGUUACGGAGGGAGUACUAAUUAUGUUCAGUGAUAGUGUAUUUCAGUCUUUUGGUUGUUUUUGCAUUUGUUCACUUGCUUUCACACCCAUUAAAGAGAUUAUUGUUUGGACUCAGUGGCUGGAUAAAUUUCGUCAACUGACGAAAAGAAAUAAAAUUAGAACUCUAAAUGACCAUAUUGUUUACACUGAUCCCUGCAGAAUUUUAAUUGGUCCGUUCUUUUCCAGCAAGACCAGUAUCACAUGGAGUAGACCAUGGUGACGUCAAUCUCAUUUCUAACUUCAGUGUGUGGUGUCUACUGGCCGCAACAGUCCUGCAUUUGUAGUGCAUGCAGAACAUCCACCAUUGUUGUUGACCUAAUCUUUAGGCCAUCGUUGUGCUUUACCUAGCUAAAAGUUAAGUAUGUAUUUGAGACAAUUUUUUGUUGAUUGCUAUAGUGAUUGGCAUCCCGGCUAGUGGAAACAAAACAGAGAGCUCCCCGGCCCACGGGUAGAAAACUGGAAGAAAAAUGCAAAAAACAGAGGAAUAACUUGAAAUAAGCACAUACGAUUAUAUAAUUAAAAAUAAAAUCUUUGUCCAUUAGUAAUUAAGCCCUCUCCUGGGUUUCGUGACCCUUUGUCCACUAUCCCCCUUGUCUAGGUAAUUGUCCGUGUGUUGCAAUGAAGCCAAAAGAUUCUAGAUGUGUUCCACACCAAUUAUGUUAAAUAUGUACUACCAAGGUUACAAAUUCCUUUGGCAACUUUUGUUAACCUGACCAAGUAGCACCAUUGAUGUUUUAGAAAAAAGAAGCAGCAUUGAGGACAAUGAACAUCACCCCCUCCCAUCAAUUUAUGUUCGUGCUAAAAACGACAUUAUCUUGUCGGAUACAAUUGGUAUUAUGGAGCAUGUACAAUAAAAUGGGGAGCACACUACCUUCAGGGUUACAAUCUCAUGAAGCUGCAAUUUUAAUGGCGAUCUAAAUAUAUAGUGUCAACGCUCCUACAGCCAAACACAAUUAAGAUAUCCGUAUUUAGGAUAUGAACUAUUCAUAGGAACAAAAAUGUGUCAUAAAUAUAUAAGAACCAAAAAGAGACAUGCUAGGGGUGCCUUAGAAGAUCACUACUAAAUGGCAGAUCAGGUGAAUCUAUACUUAUCCAUGCCACAUUUGUCAUUAUCUCACUGCCUGAUUAGAAAUGAUACAACCUCCCUUUUCUGAAUUUGGAAGAAACAAUAGGAGUGUGUAAGCUCGGUGUCGUUACCUGACUUGAUUCCAGCGAGCUUGUCCAUGGUGGUGAUUGCCUACAAUACCAAAGACAUGACGCACCCCACGCUAGCUACUGCUUCGUUACUGCCUCACUUUCCACAUGGGUUCCUUGGCAAGGCUUGAUGCAUGUGUAUUACAUUCAAAGUUUCAGACUGCAUUUAAACAAAAGAUAGGGGAGCCCUCAAAAUUAAGACAGAUUUAUCCUACAACGUGGGCCAUUUCCAAUCAAUCAAUGGAGCAGUUUGUGUUGUGCAUAUAUUCCAUUGCAUCUUAUAGUGUAAAAACAACAGACCUCAUGAUUGUAAAGGGGAACUUUCCUCCAACAUUGCCGUAGCUAACAUGCUUGCUAGCCUAGGACCAUGGUACGUGAGCAAUAUAGCUACUCGGCUUAUGACGAGAAGAGGAUGCAACCUGAAGCUCGAGUGUGGGGCAGAGGAUCCAUCCAGAAGCAUGGGAGGCCAUGCCAGCCGACGACUGUAUACAAUUCGAGUCUAUGUGAAUUCACUUAAGGAUUGGGUUCGAUUCACCUG